UUCACUAUUUGAUUUUGAGUUUUAUUUUAAUUAUUUGUAUAAAUAUUUGUAGCACAUUAUUUUGAGCACUUUCUUUUCAUUUGUUUACAUUUUUUUGCACAUUUUAAAUAGGGAUAUGGCAAGUGCGACUAUUAGGCAAUUUGCAACAACUCCACAUGGGGAUUAAAAGGGGAGUCUGUGAUUGUUAAAAGGGGAAACAGCUCCCAAAUCAAAUCAUACUUGUUAAAUAGUUCUUGCGUGCCUCUUUCGGAGAACCACAUACUCUGACGCGGAUGCACUGUUUGUCUGUCUGCUCUUAAGGUGGGUGAAUUUAAAAUGGACUUUGCUGCAGGAACUUUCUCUUUUUUAAAGCUGAUUCAUGUGUACUGUUGUAGGAACUGCACCAUCUGACACUGAUGCAUUGUUUGUAUGUCUACUCUUAAGGUUGCUUGCCCCCGGUGAAGUGAAUGUUGCUGUGCUGUCUCUGUAAGAAGAGGUUGCAGAGUAGUUCUUACUUUGUGUAAGGUCUCGCACACUGCUUGAAUCCUUGAAGGACUUUUAAACUGAGCUGCCAGACAAAGACUUGAUUAGCGAUACAGCGAAGAGAAUGUGUUUGAUUUUAAUGGGGGUUUAUAGUGAAGGCACCUAGUAGUUUAUUUGAAGAAAACUGAUUAUCUGCUUUUUAUCUGUUUAAACUGUCUAUUGUGUAGCUUUUUAUUUUCUUUUAAACUGUGCAUUGUACAGCUGUCUGUCCUUUUGAACUCAUUUGUUAAAUACAUUUCUUUUAAUUUCUAUUGUAUAGAACAGCUGCUACCGUGGAUGAUUUGUGUUUAGAUUGCAAUGGGAUUCAUCUUUUGAACCUUUCCAGACAUUGUUAGGUGUGUUCCAGAGCCCGCCCCUGUAGAGGGGAAGAUAUCUUGCCUUCUGUAAACAGGUAGCACAACCCCACUUUGGCAGAAAUAUCUAUAGGGUAAAAGCAUAGUUGAGCAGGUGCCUGUCUGUUUUAGCUAGGGGAGACAGGUGGUGCUCACCUAGGCAACUAGUGCUGUACUGAGCCAGCGAGCUCUGCGGACCUCUUCUGAUGCCUGAAAUCAAAUAUUGUUGACGAGUUUAAAGAGUAUUGUAAAUUGGUUGUUCCCUUGUUUAAAAAUAAAUAUUCGUAUUGCUUAUAAAUUGUUACCCUGUCUAUUAUUGAUGUUUUGCACUGCUCUUGGUUCUAGUGUACAAAAUAAAAGAAUCUGCGUUGCUGAGCUUUAGAUACAAAUUGAACACUUUAAAUUGUAGUGCUCUUCACUGAGCUGGUGUAGUCAGGCUACCAAAUCUAACACCACUCUUGUUACAGCUUGGUGAUUGUCAGCAGGAUUUUGUUUAAAGUGAUGGAACCUGAGUUUUGCAACACAUUGAUGACAGAGAAUGGCCAGGGAGCAGUUCUGCCACCAGUAGUGAUACAGUUUUUUAUAGGCAACCCCUGGGUCCCUAAAUUUAGAGGGAAAGGUUCAGAUACUCAGCUAGGAGAAAGGAAGGCAAAUCUAAAGACGAUGUUCAGAUUACAAAAUAUAUCUGCAGGUCUUCGGGUAGAUUAUAUUUUGCGUUGUUUAGAAGGUGAUGCAAAGAGAGAAAUCCUUAUUUUACCAGAGCGUGAGAGAAGAUCAGCAGAUCAGGUUUUUGAAGCCUCAGAUUAACUCUAUGGCGAUCGGGUGCCUGCUUCGGUCCUUCGUUCUCUGUUUUUCAGCUGCAAACAAGAAGCCCAGGACGGUGUACAAGGGUUUGCCUUGCGGCUACAAGAAUUGUUAAACAGACUGAAGAAAAGGGAUCCAGGAGGGAUUGGAGAUGAAGAUGUACACCUGAGCGAUCAUGACAUUGCAGGGUGAGUUCUGAAGAAAAAUAUGCCUCGAUUAUGCUUUGACUUUCUGUGGUAUAAAAAGAGACUUUCUGUUGCAGGCAGUGAUGUAUGGGGAUCGGCCAGGAGGUAUUUCUUGUUCUCUUGCAGGUGAAAAUGGACUUGCAAGAGGGGGUUUGAGAAAAUAAUUGCAAAAAAGAUUUGCAAGCAGAAAUGGUCGUAGACGUGACAGAUUGUUUUUCUGAGCUUUCUCAGAGCCUAUUAGGGGAGCUUCACACUGAAUUACACCAUGGGGUGUCAGGAGUGGAAUCCACAAGACAAGUAGCCGAUCUAAGCCCCCGGAAUGCACCUGGGCGAUCACAGCAGGUUGACGAGGAUGGCACCAGGACUUGAGGAUUUGUGUCAAAGAAGCCAAGUGCAGGAGAGUAGCAGCCCUUGAGCAGCGCAAUUGUAUCGGUUUGAAAAAAAGAUGGGACUUAAGAUUCUGUGUCGAUUAAACCGUAGAAAAUUGAAUGCAGUAACUCAUGAAGAUGCUUAUCCACUCCCCUGUAUUGAAGAAUCCUUAACCAGUUUGAAGCAGGCUUGUUGGUUCACCACCCUGGAUAUAGCUAGUGGCUAUUGGCAGCAAACUGCUACAGCAUGGGUUGAAGUUUAAGCUUGAGAAAUGCCACUUACUUUGAAAAGAAGUCCAGUAUUUGGGACAUUGAGUGUCCGAAGCAGGAGUCUCGCCAGACCUGGAUAUAGUAAAAAUUAUUCAGGAGUGGCCACCCUCCACAACAGUGAAGCAGUUGCGGCUCUUUUUGUUCUAAGUUGGCUAUUAUUGCCGCUUUGUCAAAAACCUUGCCAAGAUAGAGAACCCUCUUCACCGAUUAACUGGGAUUUCAUCAGCCGACCGUACUCUCCCUGCCCUAAAGCUGAGAGUGGGAUGAGGAAUGUGUCUCGGCAUUUAGUAAGAUGAAAGAGAUUUUGACAGGCACUCCCAUAUUGGCAUACGCUGAGUUUAUCUUGCCCUUUGUUUUGCACACAGAUGCAAGCAACCAGGGUAUGGGAGCAGUCUUGGCGCAGGUGCAAGACUCACAGGAACGUGUCCUUGAUUAUGCGAGCCAUGGCCGCCAUCCUUCCGAGAGGAAUGACAGCAACUACAGUUCCCUUAAAUUAGAACGUCUUGUUCUUAAAUGGGCGAUUACAGAACAAAAACAUGAAUAUCUGACUGGAUCACUUUUUACUGUACACACUUACAAUAACCCCCAUGUUCAUUUGCAGACUGCAAACCUGGGCAGCCUAGAGCAGAGGUGGGCCGCCCAAUUGGCUAAUUACAAUUUUGAAAUAAAAUAUUUCGUAUUAAUCAAAGUGCUGAUGCAGUGUCUCGUCUCCGCUUGGAUCCAGUAGAGGACCCAGUUGAAGACUGGGACCGGAUAGAAGAGUCUGCUUUUCAAAGGAUCCAUCAGAAAAUAGUUGAAGCUAUGUGUAUAGGGAUGGGCAGAUAAAACCAUGUGGGCUGCCUUGGGAGAACUAAGCCUGAAUGGAAAUGUUUACAAGAGCAGGAUCCUACUCUAAAUAAAGCUUUGUACUUUUUACAGAAUACUACUUCCCCUAACAAUAAAAAAUGAGCAGAGUUACCCAAAGAAGUCAUGGACGUCCUGCGACAGAAAGAACAGCUUGUUUUCAAGGAAGAGUGCUGCUAAGGACUAACCAAGAACUUAAAGAACAGAGGUUAAUGCACCAAUUGAUCGUUCCCGCAAGGGAACUUUGCUUUAUUUGGGAGUUGUAUCAUACACAAGCCGGACAUGGGGGCGUCAAUAAGACUCUUUCGUUGCUGCGAACCAGAUUCUAUUGGCCUGGCAUGACAAGUCAAACAUCUGCUUGGUGUGCUGAAUGCCCAAUUUGUGCAUUAAGGAAACCUCCACCUAACUAGGGGUGUGCUGCUCCAUUGGUGCCAGUUCAGACUUCAGCACCGUUAGAACUGGUUGCUAUGGACUUUUUGCAGCGGGCCUGCCAGAAGAUUCUUACCCCAAUGUAUUGGUUAUCUCAUGACCAAACAGCAACUACUACUGCACUGGUACUAUGACAACAGCUUAGGAGAGCCGAAGUGGGCAUCCUCCGAUCCCAGGACUGAGCCCAUUCUCCCAUUCAUCCAGGAGCUCGAGAGGUGGUUCCGGCCCCUGGUGGACAACGGCCAGCCUUACAUGUGUCCUCUUGAGCAUUCGGGUCACCUGUCAAGUAGGGAUUGCAGCAGGAUGGUAUCAGGCUUUUAAAGACACACCUGUGGUGGCUUUGACAGACUCACUGAGAGCAGAAACUGAUCCAAGACUGUGACAGCUACUGGAAGCAGGCUGAUCUUUGGGAUGCAAAUUGAACAUCUGUGAAACUGCAUGUGUGUUAAAAUGUUGUAAUAACUGUACUGUGUGUUUUAAAGAAUAUAAAGCCAGCAGAAAUACUAAACAAAUUGUUAAAACACACUGUUCAUACAAAAAGUUAUAAUAUGCUCUGUACUAACAUAUAGUUAUGCUACAGCAUUCUAUAUUCCUGUUUAUUCUGUUAUAACAGUAAAAAUUAUUAUUGUAUCUUUGUAAGUCUGAGUAAAAAGAGAGCUAGGUUGGGGUCACGCUGACCAAAAAACACCUGUGAAAUGAGCUAGGCUUGUCUUUGUCUGAGCUACUGGUGCCAAGGCUUAUAACCUUGAGGAGGAAAGCAGAAAUGAGAAUCUCAUUUAACUUAAAGUAAAAACUUCAGUCAAAGCAUAAUGGUACCAGUUUGUGUCAGGCAUAUAGUAGGAUCUGCCAAAGAGAAUGUAAUUCAUUUGUUAACCUUGUCUUUGCUUGAAACAAAAAGGUACCUGACGCGAGGGUAAUCGAAGGAAAUAAAUGUUCAAUGUUUGGAAAUAAGUUUCAAUGUUCGGGGGGUUUGAAAUCCAAGGUUUCUAUAAUGAGUGAUCUUUUACAUAUAAGAAAUACCUCCUGGUACAGGAAAGGGGUGUCAGUGGUGAACUAUAUAUGGCUUCAUUAAAUCAUAGAAAUUAAUGAAGACCUGGUAAAAACAAGUGAGGGGAAGCCAUAGCAUAGGACCAUGUUAUGCCAUACGUCUGAGAAAAUGCUUACAGAAGACUCUUCUACUAAUGCUGGCUAAUUAAUUUUAUGGAGGGAGUUACCGGAUGUUUUGAAAAUAUUAAUUUGAAGGACAUGAGCUGUUAAGGCUGAUUAAUGUUUAAGAUUUAAUUAUGACUUCUGACGUAAAAAGCGAAGCAAAAACUCUGUAAAAACCGAGGUAAAAUCUUACUCAAGUGUCACUCAACUUGCUAACUACAAGCUGAUGUGUCCAUGCUCUGAAGAUCUCUGAUCGAGCUAAUUGCUGUUUGGGUCAUAUUCAGAAGUCUUUGCCUUUUGAAUACAGUUCCUGUCCUUAUAUUAUAUUCUACACUUCCAUAUAUAUUUUGGAAGGUAAGAACUAUUUUGAAUCUAUAUCUCGUUUAUAUUGAUGCAUUGCUAUAAGGUAUAUGACUUUUAGUCUAAGAGUGAUAUAUUGGAUGUUCUAGGAUUUAGCGGUGGGCGUUUUUAGCUCCAUGCAUAGCCUUAGGGCAAAACAUGUUGUAACCAUAAAUGUAUUGGAGUAUUAAUGCUAUUAUACCUGUUAAGGCACUGGACCGCCCAGAUUGCCUGUCAGCUGGGAUUCUAUGUAGUCUGUAAUUACUCAAUCCAUUUAAGCCUUUAAUA